rnacentral:rRNA from 1 species
CAAAUUUAAAAUCUGGCUGGUUUACUAGUCCGAGUUGUAGUUUAAAGAAGCGUUUUCGGUGGCAGUCUCGGUAUAAAUCCUUUGGAAUAGGGUAUCAUAGAGGGUGAGAAUCCCGUCUUUGACUGAGAAUAUGCUACUAUGUGAUACGUUUUCAAAGAGUCGAGUUGUUUGGGAAUGCAGCUCAAAAUGGGUGGUAAAUUUCAUCUAAGGCUAAAUAUUGGCGAGAGACCGAUAGCGAACAAGUACCGUGAGGGAAAGAUGAAAAGAACUUUGAAAAGAGAGUUAAACAGUGCGUGAAAUUGUUAAAAGGGAAACGCUUGAAACCAGUCAUGCGGUUGGGAAAUCAGUCUCUGACAAGGGGGAAUGGGAGAGGUGUGGACCGCAAGGCCGCUCUUUUUCAUAUCUUUCGUGGCAGGGAUGCACUUUUUCUUCUGCAGGUCAACAUCAGUUUGCUUUGCCGGACAAAACUCUUGGAAAGGUGAUAGCUUAGGCUAUGUUAUAGUCCAAGAGCGAUACGGUGGAGCGGACUGAGGCUUUCGCAGCAUGUGCUCUCGGGCAAGGCUGAUUGGGUGCUAUGGGAUCGUUCAGAGUACAAUACAUGUAUUUUGCUUUGUGUCUUUUCUAUACUCGCUCAACUCGGCUCUUCCAUGCUUAGGAUGUUGACAUAAUGGUUCUAAUCGACCCGUCUUGAAACACGGACCAAGGAGUCUAACAUAUAUGCAAGUGUUUGGGUGGCAAACCCAUGCGCGUAAUGAAAGUGAACGUAGGUGCCAUCCGCAAGGUGCAGCAUCGACCGAUCUUGAUAUUUUUGGAUAGAUUUGAGUAAGAGCAUAUAUGCUGGGACCCGAAA